AGAGUUUGAUCAUGGCUCAGAACGAACGCUGGCGGCGCGCUUAACACAUGCAAGUCGAACGAGAAGCCGUAGCAAUACGGUUGUAAAGUGGCAAACGGGUGAGUAACGCAUGGGUAACCUACCCUCAGGUGGGGAAUAACUCCCCGAAAGGGGAGCUAAUGCCGACGAUACCCAUCGGUCUCAUAAGAGGCCGCUGGAAAGCCGAACCGAGGGUUCGGCGCCUAAGGAUGGGCUCAUGUCCUAUCAGCUUGUUGGCGGGGUAACGGCCCACCAAGGCUGCGACGGGUAGCUGGUCUGAGAGGACGACCAGCCACACUGGCACUGCGACACGGGCCAGACUCCUACGGGAGGCAGCAGUGAGGAAUCUUGCGCAAUGGACGACAGUCUGACGCAGCGACGCCGCGUGGGGGAUGAAGGCCUUCGGGUUGUAAACCCCUUUCAGGAGGGAAGAUGGGACGGGCAACCGUUCGGACGGUACCUCCAGAAGCAGCCACGGCUAACUCUGUGCCAGCAGCCGCGGUAAGACAGAGGUGGCAAGCGUUGUUCGGAUUUACUGGGCGUAAAGGGUGCGUAGGUGGUUAGGUAAGACCUGUGGGAAAGACCUGGGCUUAACCCAGGAAGGUCGCAGGUGACUGCCUAGCUAGAGGGCGGGAGAGGAGCGCGGAAUUCCCGGUGUAGCGGUGAAAUGCGUAGAGAUCGGGAGGAAGGCCGGUGGCGAAGGCGGCGCUCUGGAACGUUCCUGACACUGAGGCACGAAAGCGUGGGGAGCAAACAGGAUUAGAUACCCUAGUAGUCC
rnacentral:rRNA from 1 species